rnacentral:rRNA from 1 species
UACGGAGGAUCCAAGCGUUAUCCGGAUUUAUUGGGUUUAAAGGGUGCGUAGGCGGCCAAUUAAGUCAGGGGUGAAAGACGGUAGCUUAACUAUCGCAGUGCCUUUGAUACUGAUGGGCUUGAAUACACUAGAGGUAGGCGGAAUGUGACAAGUAGCGGUGAAAUGCAUAGAUAUGUCACAGAACACCAAUUGCGAAGGCAGCUUACUAUGGUGCAAUUGACGCUGAGGCACGAAAGCGUGGGGAUCAAACAGG